GUCACUUCUCAGCCUUUUGGCUAAGAUCAAGUGUAGUAUCUGUUCUUGGCUUGGGGGGGGGGGGGUACAUCCUAGCUAAAGGAUGUAUGGAAGAAUCCUCCUCAUUGUCGGGGCAGAGAGGCACUUGAUCCUGUAGCCAGGAGGCCGGAUUGCAAAUGGAGCCUGAGUUGGUAGUGCCUCAGGCCUUGCAAACCUGUG
rnacentral:snRNA from 1 species